ensembl:lncRNA
GGUACUAUUUUAUAUUAAUGCACUUUGAAAUUAAAAUUAUUUUUGCAGUAUAAAACUACACAAGACAUUUAAAUAUAACGUGGCAAAUCACUAAAGUAAUUUCACCUUGCCAAUAAAACUGAUCAGAAAUCUAAUUCUGACUGAUGCAUGUGUGUUUGAGGAACAGCAGCUCCCUCUAUGGGUGCAACCUCAAAAAUACACCAAACAAGCCUGUUUUCAGUUCACUUGAGUUUCUUAUGAUAGUUCAGUUCUUCAGUUUUAAAUCACAGCAGUCUCGCGCGGGGCGUCCUGUCCUUUAGCGCGAGCCUCACCUUGCGCUGUCUGUGCGUUUAGCUAAUAUUGCACUCAAGGGCUCCAUCACAGCAAGGUCAGGCUGACAUAUUUAAUCAGUGAGACAUGAUAACACAAAAUAUUAAACAUGGCCGCUAAUCAAGCAAUGAUGCUGAGAUCUCUGAGGAAGGAGUCCGCGGGAGGCCUUACAAAUUAUUCGCCGUUAUGACGCCUCGUCAAGCGAGCGGGAAAGCUGCCAAUCACAAGCUUCCAACUCAUGCUUUCUGCCAGUUUUGUAAAUAGUUUCCCUUUUCUUUGUUGUGUUGUUUUGCUGAACGCUGAUGCAACAGAAUAAAUGUGUUAAACGGCUUUGAGUGGCGCUUGUUUGUCAAUUUUACAUGAAAGUGCUCCGAUCGCGCUGAUCCCGUCACGGUAACUCGGGAGUAUUAUCUUAAUAACGUCUCAGGAUUAUUGUAGCUUAAUCUCAUAAAAGAAAAUGCCAUUACGCUCGCUGCUGGAUCCGAAAGAAGAUUGCAUUUUUAUUUCCUAUAUCAGUCAUAGCAUAUUUGAGGCUUGAACAGGCUUUAUGAUUGCACAUUAGUUUGCUGUUUUUGACUCUUUUGUGUUGCUAGUUUUUAUUGGCUUGUUUUAUGGCAGUUAAAUCCCAUCAUUUCUUUUUCUUUUUUUAAUCUUUCCCAUAUCUCUAUUGUUUCUUAAAAUAUGAUUCACUUAUAGAGCGACAUUGUUCGUGUUUGAUUUCAGUCCAGCUCUGUGUUUGUGUGCCGGAUCCUUCAGACCCUCAUCUGUCUGGAAACAGAGUGUUUAACACGACUUGACUAAUUACCGGAGAGUUCUGCUCUGGAGCUCAGCAUGAACGCAUGUACACAGCAUGCUUAUGC